GACGAACGCUGGCGGCGUGCUUAACACAUGCAAGUCGAACGGAAAGGCCUCUUUCGGGGGGUACUCGAGUGGCGAACGGGUGAGUAACACGUAAGUAACCUGCCCUUGUCUUUGGGAUAACUUCAGGAAACUGGGGCUAAUACCGGAUAGGAGCUACUGUUGCACGGAGGGGGCUGGAAAGUUUCGGCGGUUGGGGAUUGACUCGCGGCGUAUCAGCUUGUUGGUGGGGAAGUGGCUUACCAAGGCUUUGACGGGUAGACGGACAGAGAGGGUGAUCGGCCACAUUGGGACUUAGAGACGGCCCAGACUCCUACGGGAGGCAGCAGUGGGGAAUAUUGCACAAUGGGUGGAAGCCGGAUGCUGCAACGCCGUGGGCGGUAUGACGGCCUUCGGGUUGAAAAACGCUUUCGCACAUGACGAAGCUUUGUGUGACGGUAGUGGGUAAGGAAGCACCGGCUAACUACGUG
rnacentral:rRNA from 1 species